ACGGGUGAGUAACGCGUGGGAAUCUACCCAUCUCUACGGAAUAACGCAUGGAAACGUGUGCUAAUACCGUAUACGUCCUUCGGGAGAAAGAUUCAUCGGAGAUGGAUGAGCCCGCGUUGGAUUAGCUAGUUGGUGGGGUAAAGGCCUACCAAGGCGACGAUCCAUAGCUGGUCUGAGAGGAUGAUCAGCCACACUGGGACUGAGACACGGCCCAGACUCCUACGGGAGGCAGCAGUGGGGAAUAUUGGACAAUGGGCGCAAGCCUGAUCCAGCCAUGCCGCGUGAGUGAUGAAGGCCCUAGGGUUGUAAAGCUCUUUCACCGGUGAAGAUAAUGACGGUAACCGGAGAAGAAGCCCCGGCUAACUUCGUGCCAGCAGCCGCGGUAAUACGAAGGGGGCUAGCGUUGUUCGGAUUUACUGGGCGUAAAGCGCACGUAGGCGGACUAUUAAGUCAGGGGUGAAAUCCCGGGGCUCAACCCCGGAACUGCCUUUGAUACUGGUAGUCUUGAGUUCGAGAGAGGUGAGUGGAAUUCCGAGUGUAGAGGUGAAAUUCGUAGA
rnacentral:rRNA from 1 species